CCUACGGGCGGCAGCAGUGAGGAAUAUUGGUCAAUGGACGGAAGUCUGAACCAGCCAUGUCGCGUGCAGGAAGACGGCUCUAUGAGUUGUAAACUGCUUUUGUACAAGGGUAAACCUGAACACGUGUAUUCAGCUGCAAGUACUGUACGAAUAAGGAUCGGCUAACUCCGUGCCAGCAGCCGCGGUAAUACGGAGGAUCCAAGCGUUAUCCGGAUUUAUUGGGUUUAAAGGGUGCGUAGGCGGAGUGAUAAGUUAGAGGUGAAAUGUCCGAGCUUAACUCGGGAACUGCCUCUAAUACUGGUGAUCUAGAGAGUACAAGCGGUAGGCGGAAUGUAUGGUGUAGCGGUGAAAUGCAUAGAGAUCAUACAGAACACCGAUUGCGAAGGCAGCUUACC
rnacentral:rRNA from 1 species